GGUCCAGCUUCUGUAAAACUAAACUAUGUAGGCCCACUAUGUAAGUCCAAUAUUGUCAACACUUCCCCUCAAACUGGAGGGUGUAGAUACUCCAAGCUUGCACAAAAACCGAUGGUGAAGAGGUCCAGACAAGUUCUUAGUCAAUAUAUCAGCAAGUUGGUUGGAGCUGGAGACAAAUUGAAGAGAAAUCAACCCAGAGCUCAAGCUGUCCCAUAGAAAUGACAAUCAACUUAAUGUGCUUGGUGCGCUCGUGGAAAACUGAAUUUUAGCAAUGUGUAAAGCUGCCUGGCUAUCACAAAACAAAGGAGUAAGAGCAGAAAUAUGCAAAUGGAAGUCACCAAGAAGUGUAACCAACCAAGAAAUUUCAGCUAAUACCAUCCUCAAGGCCCUAUACUCAGCCUCAGCUGAUGAGAGAGAGGGAGGGGGAGAGAGAGAGAGAGAGAGAGAGAGAGAGAGAGAGAGAGAGAGAGAGAGAGAUAGAGAGAGAGAGAGAGAGAGAGAGACAAUUGGUUGUUUCUUGCUCUUUUAUGAAAUAGGACUGCCUCCGAGAGUAAUAUAGAAACCAGUAACAGACCUUCUUGAAAUAGGAAAUGCAGCCCAAUCAGAGUCAGAGAAAGCUGCUAAGGACAAAUAAGAGCUGGCAGAGAGGAGAAUUCCUUGGGCAGGAGCAUUUAAGAGAUAUCCGAGAACAUGAAGAGUUGCUAGCAUGUAAGGAACAUGAGGAGAUUGCAAAAGUUGGUUGAGGUGCUGGACAGAAAAAAAUAUGUCAGGUCUGGUAUGUUGGAGGAAAUUGAGUUUGCCUACCAGUCUUCUGAAUUUGGUAGGAUCAAAAAGAGCGUCUCCCAUAUUAGUAACAAAUUUAACAGUGGAAUCCAAGGGCGUAGAAACAUGGGUGAAGUUGUCAAAAUGAAAUUCAGCCAAGAGGUCAGAAGUAUACUUAUGUUGUCUCAUGAGGUGCCUUUGUGGAUGUGAAGUGAUUUCCAAACCCAAGAAAUAAUGGAUAUCACCUAAAUCCUUAAUCUUGAAUUGGUUAUCCAAGAAAACCUUCAGAGAAUUCAAUUCAAUAAGAUCAUCCCCAGCUAAGAGGAUGUCAUCCACAUAAAUGACAACCACAAUAAGAGAAGCACCCUAAGCCUUUGUAUAUAAAGAGUAGUCAUUUUUGCUGGAAGUCUAGCCUCUGGAUAGAAAAGAAUCAUACAGCUUUGAAAACCACUGUCUAGAUGCUUGCUUGAUGCCAUAAAGAGACUUCUUGAGUCUACAAACCGAUGGAGAAGAAGGAGAAGAUGGAGCAGAGAUCACCAAAUCAGGGGAAGCUUCAUGUAGACCUCCUCAUGUAGGUCACCAUGCAAAAAAAUAUUGUUAACAUCCAACUGGAAAACAGUCCAACCCCUUUUGACAGCCAAAGUAAGGAGGCAUCUAAUAGUGGCGAUCUUAAUAACUGGGGAAACUGUCUCAGUGUAGUCAACCUCUUCUCUUUGGGUAUCCCCUCGAAUUACUAAUCUGGCCUUGUACCUCUCAAUGGUACCACCUGACCUUUGUUUGAUCUUAUAGACCUACUUACAAGGGAUAACUUUCUUAUGUGGAAGAAGAGGGACAAUGUCCCAAGUCUGAUUUUCAGCAAGAGCAUCAAAUUCCUUUAGCAUUGCCUCUUGCCAAGCAGGAUUAUCAGUAGCCUAUUGGUAAAAUUGGGACUCAUGCAUAUGUAGGUCAAUUGUAGGAACCUUGGAUGAAAGAAGAGGAGAAAGGAAGGAAGGGAUAACUGAAUUGCAGACAUAAUCCCCAAGAUAAGCAGGGGCUUGAACAGUUCUGCCGGAUCUUCUAAGUUCAGGAGCAAGUAGAGUAGGUAUAAAAAUGGAAGAAUGAGAGGUAGAUGGAGAAGAAGGAGAGAUGAAAGUAGGAGGAGAAUAGGAGGAAGAAUGGGAGGGGAAGGAUAAGGGAAAAGGGAGGAAGAGGGUAGGACAGAAGCAACAGAGUGUGUAGAGGGGACAUCAACAACUAUGAGAGGAGGAGAAUGAUCAGAAGAAGAGGAAUAUGGAAAGGGGAAGAUAUGCUCAUGGAACACAACAUCCCUGAAAAAGAAAAUAGAGUGAAAAAAUAAAUUCAGCAUUUGUAUCCCUUCUUCCCACAAGGGUAACCCAUAUAAACAACAGAAAUAGACCUUGAUUGAAAUUUAUCCCUGCCAGGCUUGGGACUGACAGCAUGGCAAAGGCAACCAAAAGAUCUUAGAUGAUCAUAAAUGGGGGCAUGACCAUGCAAUUUUUCAAAAAGGGAGACAUUUAGAAGAACAUGAGAAAGAAUUCUGUUAAUAAGGUUAGUGGUAGUGAGAACACACCCACCUCAGUACUUGCGGGGAAAUCUUGGUUGGAAUAAAAGUGCUCUGGAGACUUCUAACAUGUGUUUGUGUUUUCUUUCAACGAUACCAUUAUGUUGGGGGUGUGAGGAAUGGUUGUUUGGUGAUGAAUCCUAUUAGCAGUAAAUAAUUGCUAAGCUUCAACACUAUUACCAAGUUCAUAGGCAUUAUCAGAUAUAAAAUAUUGAAUAGAGGACUAAAAUUGAACUUUGACCAUCUGAAGGAAGCUUUAAGAAUGGAAAGGACAUUACUCUUACAAGACAUAAGAUGAGUCCAUGUGACUCUAGUGAAGUUAUUAACUAAAGUAAGAAAAUACCUAAAGCCAUUGUAUGUUUGGGUGUUGUAGGGACCUCAAAUAUCAAUGUGGACAAGUUGAAAAGGUACAACAGAAUGGACAGAGCUAGCAGGGAAAGGUAACCUCUGUUGUCUAGCCAUAGGGAAUACAUUACACAGAAAUGGUUGUUUAGGUGAAAUCUUAUCUGAUAAAAAGAGGAUAGACUUCAUUCUUGCAAAAGGAAUAUGACCUAAUCUUUGAUGUUAAAAUACAUCAUUUUUAUUAGCAACAACAAAAGAAUUACAAUGUGAACUAGAGAGUACAUAAUGCGAAGUAGACCAAGGAACUUGACUAGGUACAUUACACGCAUAGAAUUGAAACUGGAACAAACUUGGAAAUAGAAACAGGAGAGGAUCUACCAGCUCAAUGUAGAAAAUACAGUCCAUUUGCAGCCUUACCAAUUACUAGAGGCCUCCUCAGAGAAGGGCCCUGUAAAAUACAAUUGUAAAUAGUGAAAACUGCAAUGCAUAUGAACUGGAGAAGUGAUUUGUGCACAGAAAUCAAAUUGAAGUGAAAAGAUGGAACUAAGAGGACAUUGUGUAUUGUCAUAUCAGGACUGAGAAAUAGGGAUCCGGUAAAUAUGACUUUUACCUUACAUCGAUUAGGUAAAGUUAUUAGGAAAGGUGUGGUUAAAGGUUUGAGAUUGUAAAGGAGAGGUUUGUGUGGUGUCAUAUGGUUUGUAGCACCAGAGUUAAUGAUCCAAGGAUCUCUACCUAAAUUUGAUGCUACAUAUGCAUGAAAUGCAGCUGAAUGGACCUCAGGAUGGUUGUAUACGCAUGCAAAGUUGGCAAAUCCAGUGUUGUCAAUAGCAAUGCUGUCAUGAUGGGAAGAUGGAUUGACUUUCUGAAGUAGGGUGUCACGACCCGGAAUUCCCACCCUCAGGAGUCGUGACGGCGCCUGCUAAUGGGAGCUAGAAAAGCCAACCUUUAACUACCUUUUUCAUAACUGAUUCCCUCCUUGUAGACAUUAUCGGUAAUAUCAUGAAACAACGAAAUAAAGUAAAUAAGCGAAAGUCUUAAAUUAAAGAAUCUAAACGAUAAUGCGGAAAAAUCAACAUAAUCUCUACCCAAACACUGGUGUCACAUACUCACGAACCACAAAGAGUACUACACAAAACCAUUUGAAAAGAAUAUAACAUUGUUUGUCUCGGAAUACAUGAGAUAACAAAAUGAAAAGCAAGAUAGAGGAGACUUUUGGCAUGCGGAUGUCUGCGACACUACCUCUGUGUCUCGGUGGACUGAAGGCUGGCUCUCGAUCUAAUGCUGCUGCUCAAAUGCUACUCUGACACAUGGGUCCAAAAGAGCACAGAGUGUAGCACCAACACAAUCGAUCCCAUGUGCUGGUAAGUGUCUGGCCUAACCCCGGCGAAGUAGUGACGAGGCUAGGACCAGACUUCGACACCUGGAUUUGUGCAAGAAGAGCACAGAGUGUAGUAUCAGCACAAUGGACCCCAUGUGUUGGUAAGUGUCUGGCCUAACCCUCGGCGAAGUAGUGACGAGGCUAGCACCAGACUCCAGAUAAGCCGGUAAAAUUUUAUAAUAUAUGGCGAAAAAGUAAACAAGUAAUAUGAACUAAAAAUCGGGGAAGAGGAACAUGUUGUGGGGAUGACAGAUAAACAGUAUAUCAAGAACCAUAAGGAAAAACUGUAAUUUAACUUCUAGCGCAGAUAAAGAGAAGUAAAAACAACUUUCAGUUUCAAUCUUGUUGCACGCGUAUAACCCGAUCCCAUUUCUCAUAUCUCGUGGUAGGCGUACAACCCGCUCCCAUUUCAUCAAGUCUCGUGGUGUGCAUACCACCCGCUCCCAUUUUAUCAAGUCUCGUGGUAGGCGUACCACCCGAUACCAUUUAAUUAUAUCUCGUGGUACGCGUACCACCCGAUCCGAUUCAUCAUAUCUGGUGGUAGGCGUACCACCUGAUCCUAUUUCAUUACAUCUCAUGGUAGGCGUACCACCCGCUUCCAUUUCAAUAUCUUGUGGUAACCAUACCACCCGCUCCCUUUUCAAUAUCUUAUGGUAGACGUAUCACCCUCUCCCAUUUCAAUAUUUUGUGGUAGGCAUACCACCCGAUCCUAUUUCAUGUUAUCACAUAAUCACAAGAAAUCCCGGCAAUGGAACAAAGUAACAUAAUAACUUCCCGGCAAGGGAACAACAAUUUAGAAACAAUCAUCCCGGCAAGGGAAAAUCAGCUAUAACCAACCUUAACUCAGUUUGAUUAAUGGAGAUGCUCAAUCAUAAAUAGGAUCUACAAGGAUAAACAAAUCUUUUCCCAAUACGGUAAGCAUUGGAUAAGGCAUACAUGAUGUCAUUUAAGAAUACAACAACUCCCAACUUAGGACUCACAGUCAUGUUUGACAUCAACGUAUAGAUACUCGUCACCAUGCCUAUACGUCGUACUAAAAAAAGAGAAAUUAGCACAUAAGACUCAACUCCUAAUCCCUCAAGCUAAGGUUAGACCGAACACUUACCUCAAUGCCUUGAAUUCAACUCAAGCCUCAAUUAUAGCUUUACCCCUCGGUUCCACCGCGAAUUCACUCGAAUCUAGUCAUAAGUUACUUAUCACAUUAACAAAUGCUACAUGAAUCAACCCCAAUGCAUGAAUAAGUUUUACAAGGUUUUAUCCCAAAAGGUCAGAAAUGCCCCGGGCCCACGUGGUCAAAACUCGAGGUUCGGAUCAUUACCCGAUUGCCCAGUCCCCCAUGAAUCCAAAUGUAUGAAUUUUUUUUGAAAUCGAACCUAAGGUCCAACUCCCAAUCUUUUAAAAAACCUAGGUUCUACCCAAAACACCCAAUUGUUCCAUGAAAAUCUUUGAUUUGAAGUUGAAAUCAUGUUAAAAGAUUUUAAGGAGUGAAGAAAAUAAGUUAGAAAUCACUUACCAAUCAUUUUGGAGAAGAAGAGUUGUUUGAAAAAUCGCCUAUUAUGUUUUGGAGUUGUGAAAAGUGUAAAAUAACUGAAAUUCAUGUGUAUUUAUACCCCUAUGAAGUUACAUAUGCGGACUGUGCAAAAAGUACCGCGACCGCACAGUCUUUCUGAAGACCUGCGGAUCAUUGCCCAGCGUGGACCGCACCAAGCCGACCGCGGUCGCACAACACGCACCGCACACCGCACAAAGGUGGCUGCGGCCGCAUAUGAUUUCUCGGGGGCCGCGCAAGAGGGUUCAGAGACAUGUCAAUUUCCUGAACCUAUAGCAUCUGAUCUUUUUAAGUCUAAGGCAUCCUAGAACCUACCCUAAGCUCACCCGAGCCCUCGAAACUCUAAUCCAAGUAUACACACAACAUCAAAAAUAUCUUACAAACAUAUUCGUGGGAUCAAAUCACCAAUAUAACAUCAUGAAUAUC
rnacentral:lncRNA from 1 species